rfam:Erinaceus europaeus unplaced genomic scaffold scaffold00087, whole genome shotgun sequence
GGAUGUGAGGGUGAUCUGGCUGCAACAUCUGUCACCUCAUUGAUCGCCAGAGUUGAUUCGGCUGAUCUGGCUGGCUAGGCAGGUAGCCCCUUCCUCCCUCACUGCUCCACUGUGUGUCCCUCCCGGCCUUCCCUGAAUAGAGACGGACUGGUCUUUGGUUGAGGGUAUAUGAGUAGCUGCACUCCCCUGCUAGAACCUCCCAACAAGUUCUCAUAGUGCAGGCACCGAACCCCAGCGAUAACCUGGAGGCAAAAAAAAAAUCAUUUAGAGGGGGCUGGGCAGUACCACACAUGGUAUUAGGCACCA